CUGGUUGAUCCUGCCAGAGGUUACUGCUAUCGAGGUUCGACUAAGCCAUGCGAGUCGAAUGUAGCAAUACAUGGCGUACUGCUCCAGUAACACGUGGAUAACCUACCCUUAGGACGGGGAUAAACCCGGGAAACUGGGUAUAAUACCCGAUAGAUCUCGACUGCUGGAAUGCAUCGAGCUUGAAAGCUCCGGCGUCUAAGGAUGGAUCUGCGGCCUAUCAGGUAGUAGUGGGUGUAGCGUACCUACUAGCCUACGACGGGUACGGGUUGUGAGAGCAAGAGCCCGGAGAUGGAUUCUGAGACACGAAUCCAGGCCCUACGGGGUGCAGCAGGCGCGAAAACUUUACAAUGCCGGCAACGGCGAUAAGGGGACCUCGAGUGCCAGGUUACAAAUCUGGCUGUCGUGAUGCCUAAAAAGCAUUGCAUAGCAAGGGCCGGGCAAGACCGGUGCCAGCCGCCGCGGUAACACCGGCGGCUCGAGUGGUAACCGUUAUUAUUGGGUCUAAAGGGUCUGUAGCCGGCCGGAUAAGUCUCUUGGGAAAUCUGGCAGCUUAACUGUCAGGCUUUCAGGAGAUACUGUCUGGCUCGAGGCCGGGAGAGGUGAGAGGUACUUCAGGGGUAGGGGUGAAAUCUUGUAAUCCUUGAAGGACCACCAGUAGCGAAGGCGUCUCACCAGAACGGACCUGACGGCAAGGGACGAAAGCUAGGGGCACGAACCGGAUUAGAUACCCGGGUAGUCCUAGCCGUAAACGAUACUCGCUAGGUGUCGGCCACGGUGCGACCGUUGUCGGUGCCGUAGGGAAGCCGUGAAGCGAGCCACCUGGGAAGUACGGCCGCAAGGCUGAAACUUAAAGGAAUUGGCGGGGGAGCAC
rnacentral:rRNA from 1 species